UACGGAGGGGGCUAGCGUUGUUCGGAAUUACUGGGCGUAAAGCGCACGUAGGCGGCUUUGUAAGUUAGAGGUGAAAGCCCGGGGCUCAACUCCGGAAUUGCCUUUAAGACUGCAUCGCUAGAAUUGUGGAGAGGUGAGUGGAAUUCCGGGUGUAGAGGUGAAAUUCGUAGAUAUUCGCAAGAACACCAGUGGCGAAGGCGGCUCACUGGCCCGGAACUGACGCUGAGACGCGAAAGCGUGGGGAGCAAACAGG
rnacentral:rRNA from 1 species